ensembl:lncRNA
GACCAGGAUGGUCUCUAGCUCUUGACCUCAUGAUCCACCCACCUCAGCCUCCCAAAGUGCUGGGAUUACAGGCGUGAGCCACCGUACCCGGCUUUAAAUUUUUUUUGUUGUUGUUGUUAAUCAAUGAGAGCUUGUAAUGAUGCUCAGGUCAGCCUUGAACUCAUGGCCUCGCCUCCUCAAGUGCCAGGACAACUGGUCGGAGCCACAGUGGCCCCUUAUGAUUGAUUUCUUUAGUUUAUACUUAAGGUCUGUAUCAGUUAGCUGCCAUAACAAAAUUCCAUAAACUGAGUGGAUUAAACAAAAGAAAUUUGUUUUCACAGAUCUGGAGGUGGAAAGUCUGAGAUUGGGUGCCAGGAUUCUUGGGUUCCAGUGAGGAGUCUCUUCCUCACUUGCACACGGCACAGUCCCCUUUCCUAGGUGUGUUCUUGCCAGAAGAGAGAAAGAACAAGCUCUUUGUGUCUCUCUAUAAGAGCACUAAUCCCAUCAGACCAGGGUCCUGCCCUCAUGACUUCAUUUAAUGCUGAUUACCUCCCAAACGCCCUAGCUCCACAUACUAUUACAUUCGAGGUUAAAGCUUCAGCAUAUGAGGAUUCUGGGCAGGCCACAAACAUUCAGUUUAUAACAAGGACCUUGUGUUUCUGGAUCUUAUGCAGGUUACCAUAUUACAUUUAGUCUUUGUGUCUCCUUAGCUUCCUUUAGACUGUAGCGGUUUCUCAGACUUUCCUUUCUUUUUUGGUGACCUUGUCAGGUUUGAGGACUACUGGUCACGUAUUUUGUAGAAUGUCCCUCAAGUUGGAUUUAUCAAAUGUGUUUCUCGUAAUACGUCUGUGUUUAUGGAUGCCUGGGAGGAAGACCAAAAAGAUGAAGUAUCCUUUUCAUCACAUCCUACAAAGGAAAGGCGGGAAACCAGUCAGAAGUGGGAGGCCUCUGAACAAACUGCAUACUGUGUAGGCACCAGCUUCUGCUUUCUCGAGGCAGAACGCUGGCCCUCAGUGCCUCUUUCUGCUUCUCCUUGUUCAGACCACUGAGGACUGCCCCUGUCCUGUCUGACUCCUCCUGUUUUGGUGAGCAAUAUAGAAAGGCUGAGGGAUUGAUAUUAUUUGGCUCCAUAUCUUAGAAAGAUAUUUGGUAGUUACAUAAAGUAUAUGUAGUUUGACCAGUACCACUUAUAACUUUAAAUUGUUGUACAGAAAUUGAUCCUUUAUUAUUUAGAAAAUAUAAUUUAAAGUUAAUAAUACUGAGAGAAUUCAUGAUUCUUUCCUUUUGCCUUACCUGUCCUUUAGUUCUUUUUUUUUUUUUUUUUUUUUUUUUUUUUUUUUUUUUUGCCAAUCAGUUUGAGCUUAUGAGGUUGCUCAGGUUAGCCUUGAACUGAUGACCUCGCCUUCGCGAGCUCCAUGACCUCCGGCGGGAGCCACUUUGGACCCCCCCAGUUCUUUAUUUAUUUCCAGAGCUUUUGUACUGGCUCAUCUUCCCUUUCCUGGGGAGUUGAUUUUAAAAAUUAGAUUUGCAGGAGCUUAUCCCUUAGAGGAUGAUGGAAACCACUUGUACUUGAACUCAAGGAAAUUUUUUUUAAGUUCCCUGUGUGCCCUUUCCAGAUCACAUCCCAGAGAGGGAGACUUCCGCAAUAUUGUGUUAACCAUUUCCUUUCUUCAUGUGUUAUCCACAAAUGUAUAUAUGUAUGUGGUAAUAAGCAUGAAAUUUGCCAUCUUAACCAUCUUUAAGUGCGUAGUUCAGUAGUGAUGAGUGUAUUCACAACAUUGAAUACUAGAUCUCCACGUUUUCAUCUUACAGAACUGAAACUGUAUAUUGAUUGAUCAAUUCUCUAUUUCCCCCAGGCCCAGCAGCUGGCCUUUUGUUUCUGUGAAUUUGACUAUUCUAGAUACUACAUAUAAGUGGAAACUUACAGUGUGUGUCUUUUUGUGAGUGGCAUAUCUGAGUUAGCAUGUUUCAGGGUUCAUCCAUGUUGUCACAUGUUAUAUGACUCAUAAAAGCCAGAAUUUAUUCUUUUGAAAAGCUGAAUAAUGUUCCAUUUAUAAAGUUCUUAAUCUUCAUGUGGCUGAAUUUAUAACAUUCAUAUUUGUAGUGUUCUUAUACCUAGUUUAGGAAAUUCUUCUGUGUCCUGAGAUCAUAAAGAUAGUCUCCUAUAUUUUUAAGAAAUAUUUUUUCUUUGUUUUAAAACAAGAUUAAGUUUUCAGGAAGGUUACCAGUACAAUUCAGAUAACAUUUGCUUUUCCCUGAACCAUUUGCUAAUAAGUUGCUGACUUGAUGACCCAUUGCUUCCAAAUAUUUUAGUGGCAUUUCCUAAGGACAUUCUUCUGUGUAAUAUCAAAAUGACCAUCAAAAUUAGAAAAUUAAUACAUUUCUAUCAUCACACCUUCAACUUUAUUCAAGCUUUACUGGUUAUCUGAUCAAAUUCUGUUUAACAACAGCAUCUAGUUCAGAAUUACUAAACUAGAUUUGGUUCUAAACAGAUUUGGUUCUAAACUCUCCUUAAAUUUCCUUACAUCUAGACCACUCCCUUCCUUGAAUUGAGAUGUAUUCCUUUCUCUUCUAUUUUCUGGGAGGGAUUGUGUAAAACCGGUGUAAAUUCUUUCUAAAAAAUUUGAUAGAAUUCUUUAAUAAAGCCAUCUGGGUGAAGUUGUUUUCAUUUUGUUUUGUUUUGUUGUUUUUUUUUGGUGAGGAGGUGGUGGAUGGAGUUUUUCUCCUGUUGCCCAGGCUGGAGUGCAAUGGCAUGACCUUGGCUCAUUGCAGCCUCCACUUCCUGGGUUCAAGGAUUCUCCUGCCUCAGACUCCUGAGUAACUGGGAUUACAGGCACCCACUACCAUGCCCAGCUAAUAUUUUGUAUUUUGAGUAGAGAAGGGUUUCACCAUGUUUGCCAGAGUGGUCUUGAAUUUCUGACCUCAGGUGAUCAACCCACCUCGGCCUCCCAAAGUGCUGAAAUUACAGGUGUGAGCCACCGCACCUCACUGGCCUAGAGAUGUUUAUGGGAUUUUAAAUUACAAAGCCAGUUUUCUUAACAGUUACAGGUCUAUUUAAAUUUAUAUUGGAUGAGUUGUUGUAGUUUGUGUUUUUUCUGGAAUUGGUGCAUUUCAUCUAAGAAAUUCCAUUUUAGCUAAUCUAUGUGCAACUUUAUUCUUCUUUACCUUAUAUAGACAUAUUUUCAAUGAAAAGAUAAUCUAAUACAUAUAUUUAUAAAAAUAAAUGCAUAUUUUAUAUUUGUAUCAUGUAAUUUUAUAUCUGUAUCAUAUACUUUGGAUCGAGCUGUAGAUGUAGCCAAGAUCUCAGGGGCAGGCUAUAUUCAGCACUGAUGGGAAACUCAGUGACCUGUAAAGUUUGUGUGUCUACACACUUCAGAGUUUGCUCUGCAUGAGUCUCUGACCAUGCAAAUAGCUAUGCUGUGGCUAUAUUCCAUGACUUAUUCGAAAUAAUGUGAUACGGUGCAAAUCAGCUUUGCUAU